ensembl:lncRNA
AGCUGCUGAGACCCCCUAGAAGUGGUAAUGAAAAGUGUAACUUUAGCCUCCCAGCUGUACGUCUCAAUCCAUAAUCCUUCCCCAAAAACCUCACCAUAGAGCCGCCUGCCACUCCCAUGGCGUGCCCAGCCUACACCUCACCGGGCCUUCACGAUUUAUGUAGCACUCCGGAUUCAUACUCUCAACCCCGUAAAAAAAAAGGAUUUGCUCUCUCUUAUAUGACCCGGGGUGGUCAGGGGAGCACGGUGGAAACACAAAAAAGCCCAGUGUCGGAGCCUCACUCCCCAGAUAUGAUUUCUCCUUCAACACGGGGCCAUACCUUGGGAUACUUUAGGACACCAGGCCGGCGUCCGAGCGACCGGAGAGGUUGGGUGGUGGCAGAUCAGCGUGUGGAAGCCAUUCAGAGGUCAGAGACCAUACGCCAAACUCCACCAGAGCCACAUGGCCCAGGUUUUGGUAUGCAGAUACGCAGCCCAGUAAUGAAGCAGCCCAGGCCUGUUCAACGGUGCAGCCCGCAGAGAGCCGCUCGAGGGGAGAGCGUUCAGAGCGCCUGCACGCGCGCGGCCUAAUGAGGAAACAAUCAGCUGCAGCGGGUCAUCACUCUCCGGUCUCGAGCCAUACACACACGAGCCACGAUUCACUGCGCACAUUCGUUGGUUGUCAAUAGGACCACUGUCCAUCAUCGUCAGUUGACGGACAGACUUGAACCAAAAGACUCAGGAACGGCCCCUUCCCCAUCACCGCUGGCCGUGUCAAGCUUGGAAAUGGAUCCCGGCCGCCUCUGAAGCAUUUAGCACCACAAUUAUCCCCCCAUUCACAGGGCUGCCUGCGCUAAUGUAAACCACACCAGGCACUAGCCGUCAUUCAACCGCAGUAAAAAAAGGCAAUGCAGAAACCCAUCCUCUGUGACAGCAAUUUGACGCAAUUCCGUCCCUGUGUCACCGUUGCUACAAAUAGGGGUCAACUCAUUUAUUAAGCAAUUUCUAGGUCUUGUUGGGGGGGAGCUGGCUCCUUGUCUGUUGGGCCACUUAUAACCCUAAAAGCAUCCCAUAAUGUGUAAUGUGUCCGACAUCAAACACACCAGAAAAAGAAAGAAGGGUAGAUCCCAGCGCCCGACCCCAGCACGGGAUGGUCGCUGGGAGGAGACGGUGGGUUGGGGACCACCACCACAGACAGGGGCGAGUCACAGAGGACCCACAGCGGGCACGGACGACUCAGCCACGCCGUAGGACGUCCACGCGGCCGCUGGGUGCUCUCGGCCUGGGCUGACCUUUAGGCUUCUGACAGCCAGCUAAUGGCGGCCUGGCUGGCGAUCAAUGCUCCCGGAGACCCGCCGCCGCCGCCACCGCCAUCCCUGCCCUUUUUCCCCGGGCCAGGAACAGAGGGGGGACGGGCGAGAGAGGCCUGCCACAGAGCCAUUGACCCCGGCUGCUCUCUCUCCCUCCGCCCUGGCGUGGGGUGUUGGCUGCCGGCAGGGCCGCGGGAGCCUGGACCCACUCUGACCUGCCACACGGCGAGAGGACAGCCAGGGCCUGCUGGAGAGGGCUGGAGAGAGG